UACCUUAACUAUAUUAGUAACCGAAUAUGCAAAAAUACAUUUUUAAAGAUUUAUUUAUUUAUUUUAAAGUCAGAGUUACACGGAGAGAGAAGGAGAGGCAGAGAGAGAGAGGACUUCCAUCUGCUGGUUCCACUCCCCAAUUGGCUACAAUGGCUGAAGUUGCACUGAUCCGAAGCCAGGAGCCAGGAGCUUCUUCUGGGUUUUCCCAUGCAGGAGUCUCACCGACAGGACGUUGCUUGUCUCUUUGAAUACAUCUUCCUCUAAAUUGAACUCCUGCAGAGCAUUUGGUGAAAGAAAGAAAUUUUUGUGGUUUGAUGGUCUGGAGUAAGAGCUGAAUAGCCAGAUGGUGAAAGAUUUCCUAAAAGAUAGAAUCCUCACUGCCCACCACCCCCACUCACCGCUCCCAGCCCCAAACAAACUCAACGGCAUGGAUCGAGAAACAUUUCCAGCUUCAAGAGAAUAUAGGAUUUUGAAUAUCAGAACAAAAUGUCAAGAAGAGUUAUAAAUUGGAAUAGGAGGAAAAAAUCUUCAGGAUGGUUAGUUUCAACUGAUAAUCUCCAGAUAAUGGGACACUUAAGGUUGGCUUGGCUGAAAGCAGAAAGAAUAAGUGGAAAAUGGAAAAAAAAAAAAAAAGGACUCCUUCAAAACAUUUUGAAAGGUAAAAUAAAUGGUGUGUGGGUGUUGAAGUUCUUUAUAUAUUUUACAUGUGUCUAGUAUUUUGUAAGUUACAGAAUUUGUACAUAUAAUUAUAUCAAGACAUAAACUCAUAACAAUGACCUUAAAAUAAACACCAGAAUUUUUACAUACAAAGGAGAUCUGAUUUAGCAAGAUGAAAGUUCCUAGCAUAUCAAA